UUGAUGGAGAGUUUGAUUCUGGCUCAGAACGAACGCUGGCGGCGUGGAUAAGACAUGCAAGUCGAACGAGAGAAUUGCUAGCUUGCUAAUAAUUCUCUAGUGGCGCACGGGUGAGUAACACGUGAGUAACCUGCCCCCGAGAGCGGGAUAGCCCUGGGAAACUGGGAUUAAUACCGCAUAGUAUCGAAAGAUUAAAGCAGCAAUGCGCUUGGGGAUGGGCUCGCGGCCUAUUAGUUAGUUGGUGAGGUAACGGCUCACCAAGGCGAUGACGGGUAGCCGGUCUGAGAGGAUGUCCGGCCACACUGGAACUGAGACACGGUCCAGACACCUACGGGUGGCAGCAGUCGAGAAUCAUUCACAAUGGGGGAAACCCUGAUGGUGUGACGCCGCGUGGGGGAAUGAAGGUCUUCGGAUUGUAAACCCCUGUCAUGUGGGAGCAAAUUAAAAAGAUAGUACCACAAGAGGAAGAGACGGCUAACUCUGUGCCAGCAGCCGCGGUAAUACAGAGGUCUCAAGCGUUGUUCGGAAUCACUGGGCGUAAAGCGUGCGUAGGCUGUUUCGUAAGUCGUGUGUGAAAGGCGCGGGCUCAACCCGCGGACGGCACAUGAUACUGCGAGACUAGAGUAAUGGAGGGGGAACCGGAAUUCUCGGUGUAGCAGUGAAAUGCGUAGAUAUCGAGAGGAACACUCGUGGCGAAGGCGGGUUCCUGGACAUUAACUGACGCUGAGGCACGAAGGCCAGGGGAGCGAAAGGGAUUAGAUACCCCUGUAGUCCUGGCAGUAAACGGUGCACGCUUGGUGUGCGGGGAAUCGACCCCCUGCGUGCCGGAGCUAACGCGUUAAGCGUGCCGCCUGGGGAGUACGGUCGCAAGAUUAAAACUCAAAGAAAUUGACGGGGACCCGCACAAGCGGUGGAGUAUGUGGCUUAAUUCGAUGCAACGCGAAGAACCUUACCUGGGCUUGACAUGUAAUGAACAACAUGUGAAAGCAUGCGACUCUUCGGAGGCGUUACACAGGUGCUGCAUGGCCGUCGUCAGCUCGUGUCGUGAGAUGUUUGGUUAAGUCCAGCAACGAGCGCAACCCCUGUUGCCAGUUACCAGCACGUGAAGGUGGGGACUCUGGCGAGACUGCCCAGAUCAACUGGGAGGAAGGUGGGGACGACGUCAGGUCAGUAUGGCCCUUAUGCCCAGGGCUGCACACGUACUACAAUGCCCAGUACAGAGGGGGCCGAAGCCGCGAGGCGGAGGAAAUCCUGAAAACUGGGCCCAGUUCGGACUGUAGGCUGCAACCCGCCUACACGAAGCCGGAAUCGCUAGUAAUGGCGCAUCAGCUACGGCGCCGUGAAUACGUUCCCGGGUCUUGUACACACCGCCCGUCACAUCAUGGAAGCCGGUCGCACCCGAAGUAUCUGAAGCCAACCGCAAGGAGGCAGGGUCCUAAGGUGAGACUGGUAACUGGGAUGAAGUCGUAACAAGGUAGCCGUAGGGGAACCUGCGGCUGGAUCACCUCCUUU
rnacentral:rRNA from 1 species